rnacentral:lncRNA from 1 species
AUAAAACAAAUGAUAAUACAAGAGCAAAGUUGAAUUAAAUUGAACAAGUUUUGCAGUUUAGUACAUUUGCUGAUACUUGUCAUCGAAUUUGUACUUACCUGUGCAACGUGACGAAUGCCACUGGUAGACCUAGAUCUGUUGGGGUUUUUUUUUUCUGUUGGAGCACAUAAGAUCACUCUUUUGAGGGGUUUUGUUUUACUAAAUUUGGGAAAGUGAAUAAGAAGGGCCUAUUCGCAAACCUGUUUUGUAUAUAGGAACUCCAGGAACCCAUGCGCUGUUAUAUGCAAUGAAAGGUUUUUUGAAGUUGUGUUUUCUAGCGAUUUGUUUCAGUUCAAGCCAGGC